UGGAGGCCGGGCGGGGCCCAGGCCCGGGCCGCUCGGGCAGCCCGCGCCAGGCCCCGCGCGAGUCACGAGCUGCGCGUCGCAGUCCCGGGAAAAGAGCAGGCGAGGACUUGUGGCACCCGCGAGACUAACCGAUUACCCGAGCCUCAGCGUUCGUGAGCUGCAGCUCGCUGCAUCGGAUGCACUCCCUGGGAAAUACAGGGGGGAGACUGAUCUACACAGAGACCGCGAAACAAUGGGUGUUACCGGGCACACUGUGCCGAGAGUGACCACUUAACAUGAGCUAAUACCGGGGGGGGGGGAGAAAACCCUUUGUAGUGAUAAUCGAGAACAGAACUGGAAAAAUGAGCAGUGCAGCAGCUUCUUCUCAACUGAAGUCUAAAGGAAGCCUACGGCAGGUUCUUUCCCCAGUGAAACUUCUACGCUAGGUGCUCAGUCUCCAGGAGACAGUAGUAUCAGAGUAGUUACAAAUGCUGAAAUGAGCAGCUUUGGUUUGAAUCCUGAAGACACGAUGCCUUUUACACCAGAAGCCAGCCAAACAUCUUGCAGACUUCUGUUGAACAGUAGUCCAAUCACAGACGGCCCAAGAAUGAAUGCAACGUCUCAGGUGUCUGAACGAAGCUUGCAUGUCUCUAAUCUCUCUCCUGUUUCUCUUGAAAAGAAUGAUAGAGCAUCAACACGUUUUUUAGAUGAAAAUGUGCUACCAAGAAUGGAGUGGAUGAGCAAAACUGUCAUACAAUCUCUGUUUCCUCCGCUGAAAAGGAAAGUACUUGUAGAUGGGACAGAACAAAGUGAACAGGAUAAAAUUGUUUCUAUUAAAAUGCCUGUUUCAAAGAGGUGCAGCUUC